UACAGAGGGUGCAAGCGUUGUUCGGAAUUAUUGGGCGUAAAGGGUGCGUAGGCGGUGCGGUAAGUCUCUUGUGAAAUCUCCAGGCUCAACCUGGAGCCUGCAAGGGAAACUGCCGUGCUUGAGUGUGGGAGAGGUGAGUGGAAUUCCCGGUGUAGCGGUGAAAUGCGUAGAUAUCAGGAGGAACACCGGUGGUGUAGACGGCUUACUGGACCACGACUGACACUGAGGCACGAAAGCGUGGGUAGCAAACAGG
rnacentral:rRNA from 1 species